rnacentral:rRNA from 1 species
UUGGAGGGCAAGUCUGGUGCCAGCAGCCGCGGUAAUUCCAGCUCCAAUAGCGUAUAUUAAAGUUGUUGCAGUUAAAAAGCUCGUAGUUGAAUUUCGGGAUCAAUAUAUCGGUCGUGCCUUGGUACGUACUGGUAUCAUUGGUUUCUCCUUUCUGACGAACCAUGAUGUCAUUAAUUUGGUGUUAUGGGAAGUUAGGACUGUUACUUUGAAAAAAUUAGAGUGUUUAAAGCAGGCUUUAGCUUGAAUACAUUAGCAUGGAAUAAUGAAAUAGGACGUUCGAACCUAUUUUGUUGGUUUCUAGGAUCAACGUAAUGAUUAAUAGGGAUAGUUGGGGGCAUUAGUAUUCAAUUGUCAGAGGUGAAAUUCUUGGAUUUAUUGAAGACUAACUACUGCGAAAGCAUUUGCCAAGGAUGUUUUCAUUAAUCAAGAACGAAAGUUAGGGGAUCGAAGACGAUCAGAUACCGUCGUAGUCUUAACCAUAAACUAUGCCGACUAGGGAUCGGAUGAUGUUAAUUUUUUAAUGACUCAUUCGGCGCCUUACGGGAAACCAAAGUGUUUGGGUUC